UCUUUUUCUGAAACAGGGUCCUGCUCCGUCAUGCAGGCUGCAGUGCAGUGGCAUGAACUUGACUCACUGCAACCUCCACCUCCUAAGCUCAAGCAAUCCUCCCACUUCAGCCCCCCGAGUAGCUGGGAUUACAGGCACGAGCUACCACACCUGGCUAGUUUUUUUGUAUUUUUUGUAGAGAUGGGAUUUUGCCAUGUUCGCUGAUCUCUAACUCCUAGGUCAAGCCAUCCGCCCACCCUAGCUUCCCAAAGUACUGGGAUUACAGGCGUGAGCCAUUGCACCUGGCCGAUUGCCAAUUGCCAAUGCCUCAACACCUUCUUUCAUGUUUUAAAUAAACAAUUUUUUAUUUAAAUAAAUAAAUGAGAAAUAAAAUAAUCUCUUUUUCUUUUGAGAUGGCAUCUCACUCUGUCGCACAGGCUGGAGUGCAGUGGCACAAUCUCAGCUCACUGCAACCUCCACCUCCCGGGUUCAAGUGAUUCUCCUGUCUCAGCCUCCUGAGUAGCUGGCAUUGCAGGUGCACGCCACCAAGCCCGGCUCAUUUUUGUACUUUUAGUAGAGAUGGGGUUUCACCAUGUUGACCAGGCUGGUCUCGAACUCCUGACCUCAGGUGAUCUGCCUGCCUCGGCCUCUCAAAGUGUUGGGAUUACAGGCAUGAACCACUGAGCCUGGUCUGGUGAGCCAAUUUUUAUAUUUGUUAUAGAGACAAGAGAGACAAGAGUCUCCUUAUGUUGCCCAGGCUGGUCUCGACCCCCUGGCCUCAAGUGAUCCUCCCACCUCAGCCUCCCAAGUAGCUAGGACUAUAGGCAUGUGCCAUCAUGGCGAGUUAAUUUUUUGUGUGUUUUUAUUGUCUCGAGACAGAGUCUUGCUCUGUUGCUCAGGCUGGACUGCAAUGGCGUGAUCUUGGCUCACCGCAACCUCCACCUCCUGGGUUCAAGCGAUUCUCCUGCCUCAGCCUCCCGAGUAGCUGGGAGUAGAGGUGCGUGCCACCAUGCCUGGCUAAUUCUGUAUUUUUAGUAGAGACAGGGUUUCGCCAUGUUGGUCAGGCUGCUCUCAAACUCCUGACCUCGUGAUCCACCUGCCUCGGCCUCUCAGAGUGUUGGGAUCACAGGCAUGAGCCACUGAGCCUGGCCUGGUGAGCUAAUUUUUAAAUUUGUUAUAGAGACAAGAGUCUCUCUUAUGUUGCCCAGGCUGGUCUCGACCCCCUGGCCUCAAGUGAUCCUCCCACCUCAGCCUCCCAAAGUGCUGGGAUUACAGAUGGGUGUCACCGCACCUGGCCUCUGAGGAGGAUUUCAUUAUAAACCUGCCCUGAAGGGAGAGAAUCCAAUUUUACGAGAGGGUGUAGCCUGGUGAGGCCUGGAUGACCUCCGGAGGCAGGGGCUUGUGCCUGGGCUGAGGCCUAAGGGUCAAUGGGCAGACAUGAAGUUGCCCCAGGCAGAGGGUACAGUGUGGGCAAAGUCAGGAAGUGGCAGGGCUUGGAUCACUCCAGGAAGAGAGAGGAGUCAUGUGUCACAGGAGCUCGAGACCCAGAGAGGGAGGCAGGCAGGCAGGCAGGGACCAAGCUGGGGCACAGCCAGGAAGGUAGGACAGGGCAUGGUGGGGCCAACGGAAUCAUUACCCAAGUCGGGGAUUUUCAGGGAAACAGCUUACAUAAGGCCAGGUGUACAGUAGCUCCCACCUGUAAUCCCAGCAUUUGAAAGGAGUUUGUGUUCCUGUAGUAGCAGACUUGGGAGGUUGAGGUGGCAGUAUCACUUGAGCCCGGGAGUUCAAGGCUAAAGUGAGCUGAUUGAGCCAUUGCACUCCAGCCUGAGCGACAGAGAGAUACGCUGUCUCAAAGGAAAUACAAAUUAAAAAACCAGCCGGGCAUGCUGGCGUGUGCCUGUAGUCUCAGCUACUUGGGACACUGAAGUGGGAGGAUCGCUUGAGCCCAGGAGUUCAAGGCUGCCGUGAGCUAUGAUUGUGCCUCUGCAGUCCAGCCUGGGCGACAGAGAAAGUCCCUGUCUCUCAAAAAAAAACAAAAAAAAAAAACUUAGAUUAAGAGGAUGCUGUGCCUCCCUGGGGGUCUUCAGUCACCCAUGGUCCUGGCAAGAGGAGGGCCAAGAGAGAGCUCCACCCACCAGCUGUCCUGCCCAUGUGACAUCCGCAGGUGCUGCCAUGGCCACGACUGUUGUUACACUCGAGCUGAGGAGGCCGGCUGCAGCCCCAAGACAGAGUGCUACUCCUGGCAGUGCGUCAACCAGAGCGUCCUGUGCGGGCAGCAACAGCUGGGCUUAUAAACAGGCAUAGUCCUUUUGAAGGAUGUGGUUGAUCCUACAACAACACACUUUCCUAAGGAUGACAACAACUCACCCCACCCCUAGAAUGGCUGGUAUGAACCGAGUUUCCACACAGUCUAGCUGGCAAUGGGGUCAGGAGACGUUUUGCUACUUCACAUCUUUUGGUCACUGGUAAAUAUUAAGGUACUUUGUUUUCUGUUUUGUGAACUCUCUCUCUCUCUCUCACGAUAUGUCUUCUGACCAUUUGUUUCUAUUUCUGCAUUUACUGGGUCUAAACAUUGUACAAAGGUUAAAAACAACACUCCAAUGGGCGUUUCCCAGGAGGGUGGGGUUCAGUUUCUGAACUCACUUGUAGGUGUGUAUUUCUUUCAUAUCCAAUUUCCCAUUUUCCUCUGCCUCUGAUACAUACCUCUCCUUUUCUGCAUGCUCACAUUCUUUCAUGCUUAGUUUCCUCAGAUUAGAAGGGAGAGAAAUGCACACACAUGAUCCACCAGCCCGUGUGGGAUUCCCUCUGCCCUUCUGGCAUCUGAAGGCUGUGAUUCAAAGAUCCCCCCUGCAACCUUUCCACAAAUGAACCAACGGAUUCUCACAACCGAAGGGAGAAUUGACACCUCCCAUUGAGGGACAAAAAAAAGUCACACUCUGGCCUGCUGGCAAGUCACCUGUCAUUUCCAGCUCAUCUUCAUAGUUCCAUAGUUAGUCCUAUUCUUUAGUAAAUAUAAAGACUAUUAAAAGCUUCUACGAGGUGCACUAUGUGUGUUUCUGGGGUCAGUCUUGUGCUUGACACAGCGAAAGCUCAUUUUAGUUCAGUGUGAAAAACCAGACCUCACCAAUUCAUCACAACUAACUCCAUCGGAAGCAGAGGAUUGCUCCUCAUCUGACUCCUCCUGUGUGAGACCUGAUUCUCAGUCAGAGGCUGAUGCCGGAACUGAGACCAUCAGCCAAAGAGAGGUCCUUCCAGAAUAUGGUGUCAUUAACCCCGCAGUUCACUACUGCACUUUGCCAUGAUUCAGGACUGGAACUCUUGUCAUCGACUUUAAAGAUCCUGGUUGAGAGAAAAGGCAAUCUGAAGGCUGGGCCCAUCUAUUGAAUUACAAAUGAUUGGAAUGGCUCCUAAGUCAGGGUGUUAUGUCCUGAAAAUAGGUGACAACGGCAAACCAUCCACCCUGGUGUUGACUGACUUUAACAAGGUUCAGUUCACAGAGAUUGAGGGCAGAAAAAGGAAACGGCCUAAAAAGGGUAAGUUUGCUGUGUUGCCCUCACACCACUUGAUUCAUGGUCCUGAUCCUAAGGAUCUCACCUGAUACUUGGUUUUAUAGGAAGGAUGUGUAAAAUUCCCAGAACGCUAGGAAACAGGGACGAAAACACUUCAAAGAGAAAGUUAAUGAACUUGUUUCUGACCACAGGGCAUCCUUCAGCACAUGCUGUCUGGAGUGGCCUCCAACAAGGAGUGUGUGGUGAGGUGCUGAGAAUGCAAUGGGAGCAGGGUCCUGUCCCCACGCUAAAGAAGCUCACAGUUUAAUGCAAAUGAGAAGCCAGUGAGGACAUCACUACUCCUGCUGCGCACUUGGGAACUAGAAACAUAAAACCUGACUCUGGAGGGAAGCUAAGGAAGCAUUCUACUCUUGAGUUGACGUAAGUGCAUCUGAAGCUUCUGAUCUCCGAUGAGAACAAUGGGGGACACCAAACAGAAUAUAAAACCCAUGAUUGAAUACAUCAAAUUGCUAACAUGGCAGUAAACAGACAUGAGGUGAAGAUGGAGAAGAAGGAAACCCAGGAUGAAAGUCAGCCUCGCAUUUGGAACCCAUGUCCCUGAGUUUCAUUGCUGAAUUCCAGAAGGAACUACUGAGAUGCAAAGAAGCACAGCAGCUUUUGCACACAUGCGUGGGAUUAGAAGGAAAACAAGUGGAUUGAGGGUCUGCCAAUGAAAGCGACCCAUACUGAAGUCCACUGGCUCUGGUUGAGACCCAGAAGAGUCAUGCAUCAGAAUAGAGGUGGACAGGAAAUACCCUGGCCUUUGUAGGGACUGAGCCUGCACCGGCGACCUCAAUUGCAGCCUGUAUGGAGGACCCCUGACCAUCCCCCAGAAGUAGACUCCCAUCUCUUCCGCAGCAAGAUAACAUGCUACUAGGCCUCAAUUCAUUGCUAAAUAUUUCUUAACAAGUAUCUCACAUUUAACAAAAAAAGAUCAGUCAUAUGGCAGCAAAACACAAUGUAAUAUGACCAAAACAUGAAAGACUGUGAAAAUGAAUCUGGAGGUGACCCAAGCAUUGAAUUCAACAAUCCAGUCUGGGUGUGGUGGCUCACACUGGGAGGCUGAGGUAGGCAGAUCACCUGAGGUCAGGAGUUCAAGACUAGCCUGGCCAACAUGGUGAACUCCUGUCUCUACUAAAAUUACAAAAAUUGGGCUGGGCAUGGUGGCUCAUGCCUGUAAUCCCAGCACAUUGGGAGGCCGAGGUGUGCGGAUCAUGAUGUCAGGAGUUCUAGACCAGCUUGGCCAAUAUGGUGAAACCCCGCCCAUACUAAAAAUACAAAAAUUAUCUGGGCAUGGUGGCAUAUGCCUGUAGUCCCAGCUACUCAAGAGGCUGAGGGAUAAGAAUCACUUGAACCUGGGAGGUGGAGGUUGCAGCGAGCCAAGAUCAUGCCACUGCACUCUAGCCUGGGUGACAGAGUGAGACUCUGUCUCAAAAAAAAAAAAAAAGAAAAAGAAAAAAGAAAAAAAAAAUUGGCCAAAUGUGGUGGCACACACCUAUAAUCCAAGCUACUCGGGAAGCUGAGGCAGAAUUGCUUCAAACUGGGAGGCAGAGGUUGCAGUGAGCCAAGAUUGCACCAUAGCACUCCAGCCUGGGUGACAGAGCGAGACUGUAUCUCAAAAUUAAAAAAAAAAAAAGGCUGGCUGUGGUGGCUCACGCCUCUAAUCCCAGCACUUUGGGAGGCUGAGGCAGGUGGAUUACCUGAGGUCAGAAGUUCGAGACCAGCCUGGACAACAUGGUGAAACCCCAUCUCUAGUAAAAAUACAAAAAUUACCUGGGCGUGGUGGUGGGCACCUGUAAUCCCAGCUACUUGGGAGGCUGAGGCAGGAGAAUCGCUUGAACCCAAAAGGCAGUGAGCUGAGAUUGUGCCAUUGCACUACAGCCUGGGCAACAACAGCAAAGCUCCAUCUCAGGAAAAAAAAAAAAAAAGAGAGAGAGAAAGGAAAACCAAUGCCAGUACUAGCAACUCCUCUUCCCCCGAAAAAAUGACAAACAAGAAUGUAGGAAGGGAAAGGAAUUAUACAGCUUAAACUAAUGAAGCAGAAAGGACAAACUCAAUUUUGAACCCACUGAAUUUGCCACAAAUAUUGUAGAAAAUAUUCUCAAGGACUUUACAGUUGUCUACUUUGAUUGGCACAUGGUUCAUACAACAGUAUUUGUGUCAAGGCACAUCUUACUGUUUUUUGGCGGUCUUCCUCUUUCCACUGAUUUUGUCAUGAUGGUUGAUUUUCGCUGUCACCUUCAUCUUACGGAUUUUAGGCGUAACUUUUGUUUUCACAUGUCUCCAUAGAGUAAUGACGUCUUUCCGGCCAAUUUUAUUUCCUGGAAAGGAAGAAACUCUUUUCUUUGUGUGCAUACAAAUGGACCUCAGCCCUUGGUGAGAGUGAGGAGAGGAGAAGAGAUGGAGUUUCGCUAUGAUGCCCUGCCUAGUCUUCAACUCCUGGACUCAAGUGAUCUGCCUCUGCCCACCUCGGCCCCCUAAAGUGCUGGGAUUACAGGCCUGAGCUGUGUAAUUUCAUGCCGCGUGACACAGCCCAGUAAAAAGGAAGAAACCCCACGGGUCCAGCGUCUACUCACAGAGAUGCACUGAUGGCUGAUAAAUUCCAGCAGGAGCAAAAAGAGGAGCCAAAAGAGCAUCCACCACACCCGCAUGUCCUGGUCCUUUCAGGGCGCCCUGAGGCGGCCAGGACAGAGGUGGAGGUGGCUUAGGGCAGGGGGGAGGGAAGGGGACGGGGACCGGCCGGGAUCUGACUUGGGGAGGGGGAGGGGAGGGGGAGGGGAGGGGGAGGGGAAGGGGAGGGGAAGGGGGGAAGUAAGGGAAGGGAAAGGAGGAGAAGGGGGCUGUUGGGCACCUGGAGGAGGAGGAGGAGAAGAAGAAAGGGGUCUGGGAAAGGAUCCGGUUCAAAUUAAGUUCUCAAGCGCUGGUGGAAGGUUUAGCUACAGGUCACGGAGAAGAUCAGGGAAGCAACAGGACUCGCGGGGCAAGGGAGCGGGCAAGGGAGCGUGAGGCUUAGGAGCAAUCAGAGGGAGACAAAGGUUCUGCUAUCCACCAAACCUUCUUCGGUCUGGGCCCUCCCUUAGCAACCCUGGGGCUUUAUACUCCCUCUCCACCAAUCCCUGAUGACCCCGGUGGUGCCUCACAAUGGACAAUGCCAAGCAGCUCCCGCAUCAUUCCAAUGACCCCUCCCCCAUCUCAGUCUCCCACUCUCCUCCCAAGGACAGGUCCUCUCUGGAACCUUCACAAACCUGAUUUCUGGUCCUCCCCAACCAGCUCCCUGUCCCUGCUUCUGGGCGCUCCUUCCUUCCUGAGCUCCCAGGGUUCCUCAAGGUCACUUUUGGCGACAAAACAUAAAAAGUAAAUGAUGGCAGGAUGGCAGGAAGAACCUCAUACCCAAGCAGAGUGCCAGGUUUUACAGCCUCCGCUCAGCCAUUCAUAUCCUAAGCAACAAAACAUCAGCAGGAUGCGGAAGGUCCCGAUAGUAAACCAUCUCCAUCACAUCCAUGUAGCCAUCUGUCCAUCAACCUGUAUCUCAGGAACAAAUGUAGAUACAUUCAUUUUAAGCAUGCAUGGUAUAUUUACAAAAAUUAACCUGACUUAUUUUGUUCCAGCAAAUCUCAACAUAUUUGAGAGCAAUCAAAUCACACAGCAUGUUUCUGAUCAUAUAACUGUGCUAGAAGUCAAUGAUUAAAAGCUAAUUCAAAAUUA